UGGGAGCGAAGCCAGGCAGGGUUGAGGGGGCGGUGUUCGUGGUCCUGGGCCCGCCCCCUUCCCAAGGCCACAGCGAGUUGCUGGGCUUCAGGGGCUCCAGGCGGCCAGGGCGGCGGAGACUCUUGCUCACGGCCUGGGCGCGGAGACGUGGGGGCGUAGCCCGCGGCCUCGGGAACGCAGUCUGCACAGAGGGCAGAUGCCUGCAUAGGCGGGGCGCAGCCCGUGUACCAGGACGGGAGCCAGGAUACUUUAAGCGUGUCACUCUGCAAGAAUUCCCUCAACCCUCGUGGGCACUUUUAUUCCAUCCCACCUUCCCCAACACACACAGACUCAGGCGUCCGGCAGCCGUGGUUUAUUCUGCGAGCAGCAGGGCUCGGGCGCAGGACCCCGAGGGCAGGCAGGAGGCCGGCGCGAGCGCGGGCGCGGGCACUAGGCUGAAGAGGACGCGGCGGCUCGCGCGGGGCGACGGCGGCAGCGCAGCCUGCAGGGAGCUGAGCGCGGCCAGGUGCUGCUCCCGGGACAAGUCCCCGCGCAGGCCCAAGAGGGCGGAGACGUGGUCCUCGCUGCAGGGGCACCAAGGAGGCGCGUCAGCCCCGUCCUCCCCGCCCUCCGGCUUCUCUUCCCUUCUGGCCCCCAGUCCGCACCUCACGUCGGGAAAUUGUUGCCGCAGGCCAGCCACCUCCAGGCCCAGCAGCGCGGGGUCGCGGAGGUUUAGCAGCUCCCUCAGGGCGAGCAGCACCGGCGCGCAGUGCGCGUUCUCCUCCAGGCCCUGAGCACGUCGGGGUAGGGUCUCGCGCCAGCCCUCUCUCCCACCCAGCCACUGAGACUCUCGCCCGUCUGCCCGCCCAAGAAGCUCUCACCAAACUGAGGAAAAGCUGCUGAAGCUGGGCAGCAUCGUGCCGCAGGCGCUCGGCCGCCUGGGUCCUCUCGUCGGCUCCGCGGCACACCAGGCGGCCUUGCAUCAGCGCGCUCAGGUACUGGAGCACCACGGCACGCUCGGCCUCAGCCAGCAGCAGCUGCGGGGAGGCAAUCAGGCGGGUGCAGGUCGCCUCUCACCCGCGCCGCCCCUUCCCCAAUCUUUUCCCCCAACCCACCUGAACCGUGGGGUUCCGCACGCGCCAGAAGUCCCGGCAGAAGCGCCCCGUCCGUUCACACACACUUUGCAGGAGCUCAGGGCUCGACAGCCAUUGGCGCGAGGGCAGAUCCGCGAACAGGGGCUGGGGAAAUGAUCCAGAUCUGGCAUUGCCGCGGAGACCCCCAUACGUAGCUGUACCGCCACCUCUCCACCUGCUCCCAUCCUGACCUGAAGGAGGCCUCACCUGGAGCUCCGCCUGCAGCGCCUCCAACACCAAGCGGUAGAUCCUCCUCUGCAACUCGUCCAGCGCAGCUUCCACUGGAGCCAAGGCCCCUGAAGGCGCCCCGUCCAGCUGCAGGACAGACACUGAGGAGCUGGACCAAGCAAAACUACGGCUUCAGGACCAAGGCCAAGGCCCGCAUGGCCCUCGGUGGUCCAGACCCUCCGGCGCCACCUUGUGGGGCAAGUGUUUGACGGGAGGGAGCGAGAACAGCGGCUCUCUGCACUUCUGGUCCCAGGCAUGGACCAGGGCUGGGAGACGGGCGCUUGGCGAGCUGCAAAGGACACAGCCCAGCGAGACCUGCCUCAAAUUCGCGGUGCGUCCUUGAGGAAAACAUUCUUUCGGUUUCUGUUUCCUCAUUCGUAAAGGAAGGGAAGUAUCCCAGUGAGGAGGGAGUAAAAAAUCAUCACUUGUUUUCCUUGCCCCCACCAAAAAGAACAUACCACCCAAGAGGAAGGGAGUGUGUGUGUGUGUGCGUGUAUACACACAGCUGUAACCCCAGACAUUACUGGCACAGAGUAGGGCCUUGAAAUAUUUGCUGGACGAAUGAACAAUUGACACCAUGUGCCAGGCACUAUGGUGGCCACUUUACAUGUUAUCUCAUGUGAUUCUCAGAACAUUCCAUUAGUACCCCCAUAAUACUAAUGAGAAAAGUGAGAUUCACAGAGAUUAGGUAACUCAUCCAAGGUCACACAACUAGUAAUUAGCAGAACUAGAAUUGGAACCCCAGGGCGAUGUGAGUCCAAAGUCCCUAGUGUCCUAGUGUGGGCUGAGCCCAUACAUAAUAGGUACUCAAUAGGGGGUUAGUGAAGGUGGGGUUCCCUGGGGGCCUUCUGGUACCUGAGUGCUGACUUGUGGUUGAGGGCGGCCAGUAGGUAGGGCACGUAAUGAGGGGCCAUUGAUUUCCCCCUGAAGUGGUCUCGGGAGAAUCGGAUCAGAGCAUCACUGAAGCUGCAAUGGGCAGAGGUGGCUCCUGGACUUGCUGCUAUGCUGGCAUCCCCACAGCCCCAGUCCCUGGUACUCCUGUCCCACCUCCAAGAUACCCAA
rnacentral:lncRNA from 10 species